CCAUCCUCCACUGCACUCCCGGGCCACAGCAGAGAGCUGGUCUGGAAGAGGGGCAACUGGGACAGAAUCCGGUGCCCCGACCGGGACUAGAACCCGGUGUGCCGGUGCCGCAAGGCGGAGAAUUAGCCUAGUGAGCCACGGUGCAGGCCUACAAAUUGUUUUAAAGUCACAGAAAAUUGAACAAUUGCUGUAAAUUUCUGGAUUGGUCUCCCCUCUCCCCCCAAAAAAAAUGAUCUGUGGAAAUCCAUUUACCUCAAUGCCUUCGUGCAGUUAAAGGUUACUUAUAUUAUAAAUUAUCUUUAACAUGCUAAAUGUAGACAGUUUCUAUGUCACGGCUCUGAACCAUCCCAUUCAAGAGAAAAUAUUUGAGUAGAGUCCUCUGUACUCCCAGUAUACCAGGCGCCUUAUCAAGUGUCCACUUAAGUCAGCAUAAGUGUACCUUUUUGUAGGUCUGACUCCAGAUAAAUUAUCAGGCGAGCACAUAAAUAGCAGAAAUACUAGGUACUUUUUCAAGCUAUCAAUGAAAUCCCAUUAUUAUUCUUUUUAAUCCUAGCCUUUACUGCAACAAGCAUUUUAUGCUCGGUGCAUACACUUGGUGUAGGAUUUAAUUUAGAAAGGUAAAUUACAGUCUGUAUGUAUUAUUUGAGAAACAUUUGGCUUCAAUUACUAGGGAACAACUUAAUGCAGUAGCUUUUAUCUGGAGUAUGUACGUUUGGAUUUUAUGAAGUAAUUUUAUAGUUUUGAUGUAACAAAAAAACAAAGACUUCCUUCAAGUGACAUGAUUAAAAGGACUCUGUGAUCUGCUAUUCGUCAGUGCCUGACUGGUGGAUUUCUGUUUGUUUUUCAUGUUAACAGAACCCUGACACUCUGCUAUUGUUUAGUGAGAAGAGCCAUUGCUCUUGAGUUCCUUUGCUGUGACGUGGAAUUCAAAAUCUUUGAGGCCUUGAAUGGAUGUGAAAUGGAAAUCAGUGUCACCAAGUGUGUGUUCUCAAAAUUAAGAUGAAUCUAGGAGAUCCUCUUUUUUGGCCUCUGCAUGUCUUGCUAUUUGAGGAGCAAGGUCAACUAUAAAUAGAAAAACUUAGAAGCUUGUUUGAAGGUGAACAAAUGAAUACUUCCUAGAGAAAUGGUUUAAUUUUUUUCAUGUGAUCACAUUCCAGAGAUUCAUUAAACUGUAUUUGUUGGAAAAAACUAUGAAUUAUUUUAAAUUUUCACUUUUGCACUAAAGUCCUUAACUUCUUGCCCUGUUUUUUUAAUCUGUUGUAUAGUUUGACAGCCAAUGCAAUUUGUUCAGAUUUUCUUAACAAUUGAGUGCUUUAUUAAUAAUAAAACAAACUUUCAGUUGUGCAACAACUAUUUCCACAUGUUGUCCACAAAAACUAAAAAUCAAUCUUACAACAGACUAUUACUUUCCAGAUUAGGGAAAAUUGAUGGUUGCGGUUUUUUCUUAUCAAGUGUCUCUGGUAGCGUCUCCUUUGUGAGGGUACUUUGGUUUUACUAAGUAAGUAAUGGAAAGACAAUUCCUGGCUGCCUUUCUGAAGUGCACUAUGACCUAACAAAAGGCCACUGUGUCAUCUGUCGUUUGUGAGCAUAGGACUUCAUCAGUUACUCCCACCGACAAGGGAAAGGAGGGUUGGGACCACAGAAACAUUUUCAGAAAAACUUCUCAUCCUGAGGUUCAAUCAUUGUAUGAUAGCAUGGGAGGCGAAGCUGUGUGGCUUAUGUGAGAGCCCACAGGCAGAAGAAACCUAAGGAAAGCCCUUCUGUUACUCAGCAACAGAACUGAGACCCCACCAGCACCAACAGCGAAGAAAUUGACUUUACAUGUUGUUGUAAAUAACAUAGGCAGAGGUAUGGCUACUUUCAGAUGAGGCUAAUCUGGCACUGCCAUGAUAUUUAAGACCUGUUUUUUUUUUUUUUCCUCCAACCCCUGAGUUACAAAUUCCACAACUCAGCUUCAUCUGAUGCCUAUUUCUGGGAACCUAAGAUGACUUCCAGCAGCUCCCUGUGCAAUCUGUGCGCAUCACCAAAAAGAAGUUUUAGAUCUGGUUUGUUCAAACAAGGAUCCCACACAUGGCUUGAGAGGAAACCGUGCCCUAAACCACCACACAAAGCUGUCUCGAGGCGUCCUCUGAUCCUUAGGAGGAGAACUCACAGGAUUGCAUUCCUCCCGCAUCCCGAUCUGGUGCAGUGGCAGCUCCACGAUCCUAGUAGCAGCACGUGAAAGGGCAGAGCAGCAGGGAUUUAACAGAGAACCGUAAGUGGAAAGAGCCAAGAAGAACCCUCCUCAGACAGCCUUCAAGGUAGGAGCCAACAGGAGUCAUCAGAGCAGGACCACGGGGAGACAUGAAGCACUCCCCAAGCAAUGCGUGAACCUGGCGAGCCAGGAAGGAAGCCUCACUGGGACUGAGUACUCUAACCCAAUCUCCGGGCAAACACUGAGUGGAGAGUAAACAUCCCCACCCCAGAACAAUGACGAGGAACCUAGGCUUCAAAAUAAAAUGAGGUGGGCACUUGGUGUAUUUGUUAAGAUACUGCUUGGAAUGAGUGCCUGGGUCCAAUUCCUGGCACUGCUCUUCUCUCUUCCCACCAAUGCAGACUUUGGGAGGUAACAGUGUUGGUUCCAGAUCUAGGGAGAUCUCAGUUGCAUUCUUAGUUACGGGCUUCAGAUUGACCCAGGCCUGGCUCCUGUGAGACCUUCAGGAUAAACCAGUGGAUGUGACUUGGUUCAUUCUCCCCCCACACACAUACUUCAAAUGAGGAAAACACCACAAUAUGCACCCCUGACUAUCCAGAAAAAUCUGUGUAUGUCCAACACUGUGCUCUCUCAGGAAUGACUGGAGAGGGAAAAUCCAGAUUUCUCUUCCCUGGCAGAAUGCAAAUCAAUAAUGUUAACUCUGUGCUGCAACAGUCAUGUGAAAGCCAUGCAACCAUGCAAGAGUAAAUUAUGAACUUCUAACCAGCUAAGCUGGCAUCAACACAGCCUUUGGCCAACCAGUGACUUGUGUUGACUAUAAGGCAAGCUCCAGAUAGCCAGGUCAGAGAAAAGGACAACAUCUGGGCUGGGGCCUCAAAAACUGCAGAGUGCAGGGGACAUGCAUGUCACAGCAUUCCACAAGUCUCUACAUCAACAACUGACCAGCAUGCAACAUAAACUCAGCUGCGGAAACCAGGGUGUACAGGGCCACAAAAAAUAAUUUUCACUAGAAAAUAAUGAGAUAUUUAUAUGCAUAUGUGUUUUACAAAUAUUUCUUUAAAACUAAAGGAAACCACGCAAAAAGAAUUACAGACAGUUUUUAUAUUGAUCUUCUCUACUUGAUGAGGCAUUGUUAAUGAGAUGGAAAUUGUAAAAGCAAUCAAACACAAAUUUGAGCUGCAAACGAAUCAUUGAGUAAAGAUGGGAUACCAUUAAGUAUAGCAAUAAACAUAUAAACAGAAUUCCAGGGUGAUGAGGAGACAAAGAAGCAUAAAAAAUGUUUGAAGAGAUAAAGGCUUAAAACUCCCCACAUUAUGGGGCCAGAAUUGUGUCAUAUUGGGUCAAGUUGCUGCCUACAAUGCCGGCAUCCCAUAUGGGCACUGUUUUAACUCCCAGCUGUCAAACUUCCAAGCCUGCUCCCAGGUAACACUGAAAGAUGACCUAAGUCCUUGGGCCCCUACAUGCACAUAGGAGACCAAGACAAAGUUCUUGGCUGACGGUUUCAGCCUGGCCCAUUGUGGCUAUCUGGGGAGUGAACUAGAAGAUGGAAGAUCUCUGUCUCUCCCUCUUUUUCUGCAACUCUGGCUUUCAAAUAAAUAAAUCCAUCCCCCAAAUAUCACCAAAUUUGAUGAAAAACCUCAAUCUAUCUCCCUGUGCAAGAUCAAUGAAGUACAGGUAGGAUAAAAUCAAAUAGAACAUCCUGAAAUCAGUUUGAGAGUACAAAAAAUCAUCAUUUAAAAGCAAACCUUAGGUUGGAAUUUGAAGACAUUGCUGUUACUGCUAAGAGACAUGGGAUUUUCUUCUGGGUAAUCAAAUUAUUUGAGAUGUAGCUUGUGGGGAUGCUUUUCCUAGUCUAUGAAUAAUCUAGAAACCACAAAACUGUGCACUUUAAAUAGGUGACUUUAUAACAUCUAAGUUAUAUCUUUUAAAAGGCAAACCUCAAGAAAACAGUACUUAGAAUUGGAAAAAAAAAUAAGGCUCAAGAUAGAGAAAAUGGGCAAGAGAUGGUAUUUUAAAAGAUACUAACAGAUAAUUACACUCAUCUUCAGACUGUGAAAUCUCAUUGUACUUCAACAAAUAUAAAAACACAGUAAAUGCUUACACUGUAGCAAGACUACAGAACAUCAACAAAAAUGAUAACAUUUUAUUUGACUUACUAGCGAAAAGAGGAAAAGACAGAUCAUUUACUAAGUACUGGUAAACUGCUCAAUUACUUACAGCAGUAAAAAUCCAAAGUGUGAAUUUCUAAGAAAUUAUAGGAAUUUAAAAAUUAAAACCAGAAGAUAAUGAAAUCUUAAUGUUGAGUUUAGGUAAUUUGAUUUUUGAAAGAAAUUUAAAGCUUAAAAUUAUUGAAGGGUAGGAAGAAAUACUAACAUAAUGAAUUGUUUCUCAAUGACAUGCUUAUGUGCAUUGGUGUGCCACAAAUUGGCUUCAAGUUUUCCACAGAUAUCACUGGUUUUAAUAUGCUUUUGUUAAUAAAAAUAAUGCAAUGAGUUUGACAUUCAAACCUACAUAUUCCAAAGGGGAGACUGACAACAAAUUGACUACAAAGAGGUAAUCCCUAAACCCUUGGAAUACCUUUGGGUUAUGAACAUCUCUGAUCCCAGUGAUGGUAGAUAACUUUAUCAGCCAACUCCAAGGUAGGAGUGAGGACAUAUCCUGCAAAUCUGAAGGAAUUCUCUGGAAAGAGAAGGAAUGGUCUUUGCACAGCUGGGUCUGUGAAUACCACGGUAGCAGUAUAGCGUCUGGGCAUGGCUAGAAAUUCUACUGCAAAGGUCAGAUACACAGGGUGUCCAUGCCUAUGUGAUUGGCCCUUGUCAGAAACCUGGAACCCCAA